GUUUCCUAGAACAUGAAAAUUUAAAAAGCAAACAAACCAAAAAGCUUUCAAAUUGAAAUCGACCAAUGCAAGAAUUUCUUAAAGUUCUCUGUGAAAAUUUGCUACAGGAUUAUUGACAUUCCUAAUACAGCUAAAAAAUGAGUGCAAAAAUUUUUCUAAUGUUUAAACAACUUAUAUUCCUUGAAUAUAUUUACUUGGUGCUUCUAGGCUAGCUUUCCAUUUAGCAAUUCUCAAAAAAAAAAAAAAAAAAGGAUGGGAAGGAUGGGUUAGAAUGACAAAGAAUUGUAAAGUGUGGGCCAUAGAAAAGUUCCAUUGCCAACAAAGAUAAAAGAUGGGAUACACUGGGCUUUCUCAGUGAUCUGGAUCACCAACAUGAUUGCCCUUCUUGGUUUAAAAUGGAGAGAUAUAUUUAUCUGCAAGUUGGUCAAAGAUAAAGAGGGUGGUUUUCCAAACAUAUGCCUUAUGCUCUCUUAGUUAAAGAAAUUCUUGGGUAUAAACACAAUUUGGACAACUGCUUUGAUACAGUUUCAGUGUGUUUAUGUUAAAAGAGUUUCAUAAUUGUUUUUUCUUGCAAGAUAAAAAUCUUUCCAUAUGGCUUUCUUCACUUUUACUCAUGAAAAUAGUAAUCACAUAAACUGUAACCCUUCUGAGGGCAGGGAUCUAGACUGUUUUGUUCAUGGCUUAGUCCCCAGAAAGUAUCAUACUACCUGGCACGUUAAGUGGGUAACCAGCAUUUAAUUACUCAUUCAGUCACCAAAUGUUUAUUAAAUGAGGGAAGGAUCAUGGUUACUGAGUGACAGAAGAAAAAAUGAGUCUCAACAGCUUUAAUUUAUUAAGUAUUUUUGAAUCAAUACAGAGGGCUAGGGAUGUCUCCAGCCUGGGAUUCCUUAUAGACACAGAAGUCUCCGAGAGGUGACCAAAGUCAUUCUAUUAUUUUUCUCAUUAGUGGACUCACUACUUUGGAAUGUUGGGUUUAUCCAUGUUCUUUGGUAUUUUAACAUAGAAACAGCUAUUCUUUUUAAAGGGUUAAAAAUGUCCCAGUCCAAUCCUCCUGGGAGGUACUAGUCUUAUUUAAUUGCCUUCUCUUUCAGCGUAAGUAGAGGAGACACACUUUUAAAGGCCCGUUGGUCACCCUGGCUUCUUUCUUACUCAGGAACUACUGAUAUAAUCAAAGAGGACUAGACUGGACAGUGAAAGAAACAGGGCUCAAAAUAGCCUUUUAUGUAAAAAAAUAAAAUGAACAAACCAGCACUAUCUACCAUCUGUGCCAGACAGUGCAGAUGUGAAAUAAAUACUUUGCAGGGAGGGGUGUUGUGGAAAGGGUGGCUCUGAAAGCCUAGGCACAUCCAACAUAUCAACGUCUCUAUAAGGCCUUUCUCCUUGGCCUUCCUGAAUUAAUGGGUGAUUUUUAGAGGCCUCUGAUGUGUUCCACAUGGCUAAUUUUCCAUGAAGAUCUUUGUAGUUUGCCUGCUAUCCUCUCAAUAGCUUUAACUUCUCCCCACAUGACAGUUAUUGCUUCUUAGAAAUGAAUGUGCAGAACCAUGAACAAUAAGCCAUUUUCUCCUUUUAUCCCUAGUAAUUAAUCAAACUCAAUAACAGCACAAAAGUAACAACUCAGGUGAAAAUAAAACUCACUUAUGUCUUCAAUGUCCAAUCAACAUUGCCAAAUGGGAGAACAGUAUGUACUAUACUCUACUAUAUACAGAUACUCUUUGUUUUGUUUUAUUUGUUUUUCACCAUGCACUGUGUAACAGGUAUCACAACAACAUUUCCAAACGGCACAUGAAGAAGGAGCAAAUGUUCAGUCAUGACUGGAACAGGAUUGUGCAAGCCAUGGAUGCCUUUGAAAAUAAAACUGACAGACAAUCCCAAGCAACGGCAACAUGGGACUGAGACACAUGUUAAUGCAAAUGGAAAACAAUGAUGUGCUUUUUGAAUGGGGUUAUUCUUACUGUUUGCAUAGGGGAUGGCAGGUGGACAGGAGGAACAGGGUUGGGAUGGGGCACCUGGGGGCUUAGCUGGGCUGAAUGCUGGAAGAAGGACCUUGCCAAUCACAGUCCAGAGCUAAAGAGAUAAGAAAGAAAGGAUUUUGCAUGUUCCUGGGAAUCUAGGCACGUUUUCCUUGUACCUGUUAAACGAGACUGCCAGGUAUCACAUGUUUAAAUAUCAGACUAUUUCUAGAACCAUCGGAUUUCCUGGCUCCAUUCCACUCUUAUGCUUCUUCUUGGAGGCAGCUUCACCUCCACUCACAUUCCGGAGAUAAGCAUGAACUUUGGUAAUACGAUGAAGACAUGCUUCUUUCUUCUUCCAUGCCCAGAUUUUUUCUUAAUCCAAAAUAAGUUUUAAAGUGAUUGGGGGAGGUGAGGGGGAAUAUUAAUGAUUUAAAUUUUUACCAAAACCCAUUUACAUUUGGAUGGUUUCACUUUCCACAAAGAAAAGCAACAACCCUGACUCUCCCAAAAAAACAAAACAAAACAAAAUAACAAAAAUAAAGCCAAACAUUAACUACCUCCCCAGCUCCACUGAAAACAAAACCAAAAACAAAACAAAUCAAAGCCUUAAGGAUUUAUGAACCAGGAGAGAGUGCAGCCCUUCUAGACUGAGCUGCAAAGAUGGCCCUGCCUCCAUGCCUUGUUGAACAUGAUGAUGCCCCUGGGAAUGGGAGGUGAUGGUUUUUUACUUCGGCCCUAGUACAGAGUAUGCUCUUGAAGCUGGAUUCCAUCAGCAGGUCUUGGCUUGUUAUCACAGCCCUUGAAAUUGUAGGAAAGAAAGUGUCAAGA
rnacentral:lncRNA from 1 species